GACGAACGCUGGCGGCGUGCUUAACACAUGCAAGUCGAACGGUGAAGGGACCAGCUUGCUGGUUCUGGAUGAGCGGCGAACGGGUGAGUAACACGUGAGUAACCUGCCCCCUUCUUCUGGAUAACCGCAUGAAAGUGUGGCCAAUACGGGAUAUUCUGGGUCUGUCGCAUGGCGGGCCCGGGAAAGAUAUUGCUUCGGUGGGGGAUGGGCUCGCGGCCUAUCAGCUUGUUGGUGGGGUGAUGGCCUACCAAGGCGGUGACGGGUAGCCGGCCUGAGAGGGUGGACGAUUGGACUGGGACUGAGGCACGGACCAGAAUGCGACGGAGGGGAGCGGUAGAGAAUAGUACGCGAGGGAGGCUAGCCUAGUGCAGCGGCGCGGCGGGAGGAAGGGAGGCCUUCGGGAUGUAAUCCUCUUUGGCAAGUGAAGCAGGCCUGCUCCUUGUGGGUGUGUUGACGGUAGCUAGAUAAGAAGCGCCGGCUAACUACGUG
rnacentral:rRNA from 1 species